UAGUGCUUAAUGUGCAGUGCCUGCCUGCAGAAAGCCCUCAGCAAUGCUAGCACUGAUUAUGCUUAGGACCUGGACAGCUCUGUGACAUCUCAUGAAGCUAGAAUGGCUGAGGAAGAAGCUGUGUGCAAGGAAGACGGGAGGAAAGGAGGACUGUGCCACCUCAGCCUUCCUUCCCCCAAUCUCAGCCUUCCAUCCCCCGAUCUGCGCUUUCCUCUUCCAUUUUGAAGUGGCCACAUCCCAAGGAGGCAGAAUCUCAUCUGUCACCCCUUAGAUCAAAGUCUCCCUGGUCUGAGCAGCUGGCAGGUCUCUCUAGGUGUCCUGAGGGGGCUGAUGGAGCAUGGCAGGCCCCACUCCUUGUCUGCCUGCACCUCUGAUUAGCAACACAUCCCCUAGCGCAGCCCUCGGGUCACCUACCUGAAGUCACACUCGAGGCCCUGAGAUUCCUUUUGCAAAGUAUGUGACAGCCCUUUCCAGGUCACUGCAGUGGAAUUUGACCUCUGGAGCUGGGCUCUCCUGCUUUCCAGAGUCAUAGUAUUCCACGGUUUGUUCCCACCCUCCUCCAAAGACAGCAAUCAUGGGCAUUUUCAUUUCAAUGUGCACUUCUUGUUAUGGUUAGUAUUUGUCGAUUACAAAAGUCAUAUAUUCUCAUUAUAAAAAUACAGAAACAUAAACGGAGAAAGUGAAUCCUUUUCUCCAGAAAUGAGCAGUGUGUGAAAAUUCCUUUAGAAUAUAUUUGCCUACCCUGACCAUAAUUUUUAAACUAAAAUGGAAUAACCACAUAUUGUUUAGUCAUCUUCAUUUUCUUGUUUCUUUUUUAACUUUAGGCACAUCUUGGACAUUAUUCCAAAUACAGUCAUCCUUUUUGAACGGCUGCAAAGAAUCACAUCAUAUGGAUGAUCUGUAACAGGGGUCCCCAACCCCUGGGCAAGGACUAGCACUAGUCUGUGGCCUGUUAGGAAUGGGGCCACACAGCAGGAGAAAGAGUGUAUCCAGGCGUGCUGUUGCCAACUCGGCCUUCCUCCACUACAGGAGAAGCAGAAUGCAGAGGCCUGCAGCUUACAAUGACCGACCGAGCACUUCGCAUACAUUCUGCCACUGCAAUCCUUACAACCACCCCAUUAAGCAGGAGCCCUCCUUACCCCCUUUUACUGAUGGGGAAACCAAGGCACAGAGCUUAAAUGUUCACUUGUGAUCUGCCUGCUGGUGUAAGCAGAUUUGGAAUCAUGAUCUGUUGAAUUAAACAAUUCACGUGAA